CGAACACAAAUGGCUCAGAUUGAGCGGAUGGUCGCUGAGUUCCUCGCGGCACUGCCCUUCGUCCUCGUGCCGCUGGCAGUGAUGGGUCUAGUCGCCGGGACCAUGUACUACGCCAGUGUCGAGGUUGGCGCGGCGCUGGCUGCCGCCUCAAUACUCGUCUCAGCAGAACUGAUUGUCCGCAAGCGAUGUAACUGGAGCGAUCGUUGGAUGGUCGUUGCGGUUGGCGUUCUAGUCGGUAGCCUGGCGACGGUCAACAGUUCGAUCGAGAACCUUGUGGUGAGCGCGGUCGUCCUCGUGACACUUGCGGCGCUGACUAUUGAUGGUGUCCUGGCAGGGAUGAAGCGCCCGACCAAUUGGAACGUCGUUCCAGCACGGAAUAUCGGUGAGGCGCUUAUGUUCGCGCUUGCGCCGUGCGUCGCCAUCGCCGCUUCGAUGCUACAACUCGCCGGUGCACUCUAGUCGUCAGGCGAGAGAAGGGCCUUUAUCUCCAACGUACCGCAAAAUGCGGAUAACGACACUUG
rnacentral:misc_RNA from 1 species